CCUGGGCGUGGCAGGUGCACUCAGGAGGCAGGGCUGCCUGCUCAGUGUUGGGUGGAGCCACAUGCCUGUCCAGGGCUGGGUCCACCCUGUGUGGACUGAGGCCACCAUGUGCACGGUUUUCAGCUAUGCCUCAUUCGCUUGCUGUGUGAAUCUGGGCUGCAGGGCCUGCUGCUGUGUGCCACAGGCCAGUGCCCUGCAGUGCAAUUGUACCUGAGGACCCAAGGUGGCCAGGGAAGCCCCAGGUGCGACUUGGCAGGGGAAGCAGGGGCUGUGGACGGAUGGAGAGCUGUCAUGUGGAAAGGCAGUGUGUCCCCAGGCCGUGGCCCAGCCUCCAACACCCCCAAGUCCCCUCCAGGCCUCUCCAGACCAGGCCCACCACAUACUGCCUGUGCAACCUCGGAAACCUCCUGGGAACAUCCACCAUAUGCCAGGCAUAGUGUCAGACAGGAGGGGACAGAGAAAAACAAGAUCAACAACCGCCCUGCCCUUGUGGAGCUGGCGUUCUAGUACCGGAGACAAAACAAGGUGCUUCCAAGGAGGAAGCCGUGCUCAUCAGACACACACAGUAGAUGAGGGAGUAUGGUUGAAACAAGACUUGUCCUGAGUUGAUAUGGAAGCUGGGUAAUGGAUACAUCCACCUUCAUUAUAUGAUUUUCUCUAUAUUAGUAAGAAAACAAAAGCUUUUAUUAAAAAUUUUAAACAUGAUAUAAAUCUCUAGCUUAAGUGUGAGUCCCCAUUCUUUCACCUCCCAGGGUUAACUGCAAUGAACGGUUAGGUGUAUGUGCCCCUGACCUUCUCCAUGUAAACACUAACUGUGAAUAUUGCUAACACACACACUCUUAAAACAAGGAUGAGCUACUACAAUGCACACCAUUUCUCCAACAGCUUUUCACUUCACCAUAUUUUGAGAUGGAUGGCCACGUCAACACUAUCUCAGUCUUUAACAACUAGCCCCAUGGUACUCCCCUGUAUCAAAGAGCCAUAAUUUAUUCAUCCGAUCCUCUAAUGAUAGACAAUUGGAGUAUCUCCAAUUUUUGCUAUUAAGAACAAUGAUGGAAUGAACAUCCUUGUACAUAAUAUCUGUGUACCUGUGUGAGCAAUUUUACAACCUAUCUUUCUAGAAGUGGAAUCACUAUGUCAAAGUGGUCACAGACUUAAAAUUUAAAUAACAUGUCCAACUUGCCCUUCUGGUGGACUUUCUGUGUCAAGUGCACUACAUUCUCUCCUAGUGCACAUCUGGAGACUAUUGUCAUUUGGUGCCUGCUGUAGAAAAGCCUCAUGGCGUCACAGCUGGAAAGGGCCUCCGAGAUCUUGUGGUCUUGCUUCCAGGGAAGGGUGGGGCCCAGCCCCCGAUGCUGUCAGGGCCACGUGCAGCUCCCUGGGCUGGAGGUUGUGUAGAGCAGUGCUCACGAAGAUACUGCCCAUGUCUGAAUCCCAGGCUUACCAUUUACUGUUGUAUGACCUUGAAUACUUGCCUUGUCCGUGCCUCAGUUUUCUCAUCUGUAAGCUGAGGAUAAUACUAAUUCUGGGGUGGCAACUGGAAAGGGGUUAGGAGAUUUUUCUUGAAGCUACAUUAACAAAGUAUAUAUUUAUUUGGGGUGGCUUUCAGGGGAUUGAUGGAUGAUGGGGGGUGGGCACUAAGGACUCCCAUCAGACACCACCAGCGCUGCCAGAGCUAAUUUCAAAUGAUGACAGCUGGACUUAGUGAGAUUCGACGUGACGAAUGCCCAGCACACGGCACACAGCCUGGCACACUGUCAGUGCUCGAUGGUUGUGAAUUCUUGAAUGCUGACAGGUGCUGUCUGGGACAGGGAGACCAACAUUUCAGAGAGACUGUCCAGGAGAGGGAGGCCCGAGCAACAGGAAAAGAGGGGACCCAAGAAACAGCCUAAUCCAGCCCGCCACUUACUACUUAAAUAAAGUUUGAUUGUAACACAGCUGCGCCCCUUCAUUAUGUAAUGUCUAUGGAUGCUUGCACUUGACAAUAUCAAAGCUGAGUAGUUUCGACAGAGACCAUAUGGCCUGACAAGGCUAAAAUAUUUAGUAUCUGGCCCUUUACAGAAAAAAUCUGCCAACCCCUGGCAUAGGGGUUAUAGGCAUACUAAUACAUGCUGAUAGUUCUUGAGCUCACACCGUGUUUCAGGGACUGUUCUAAGCACGUCACAUAUAUAAAUUUCUUUAGUCCUCACAAUACUCGUAUGACAUGGCUACUAUUUAUGGUAGCUAGUCUCAAUGGUGGCCCCAGUGAACCACGUCUCCUGGGGCUGACGCCUCUGUGGGCCCCCCACCUCGAGUCUGGGACAUCCUGUGCCGUGUGCUGACUAAUGGCAUGCGGUCGAGUGCCAGGCCUGGCAUUAAGGAGGAUGGGUACUUCUGCUUCUUUGCUCUGGGGAACACUGAGGUGCUGCACGCAGAGCAGAAGGGGAAGCCAUGGGGAAAGGAGAGGCUCUGAGGCUGCAAGGAAAGGACGAAGGUCCAGCCAGCCCUGUCUCAGUCCAGCCUCCAGUGACCUCACCCAGCUACCAUGCAGCCACACUUACAGCAAGCAAGACCAGCAGGACUGCCGGGCAGAGCCCAGUCCACUCUCAGAACCAGAGAGACAAGAAAAUAGUGCUCAAGCCACUCUGCUUUGUGGGGUGGGGUGGUUCUGCAGCAAUAGCUGGCUGAGACACACCACACCAGAGCCUUCGCCUUUCCACC
rnacentral:lncRNA from 10 species